AUUUUUAAUAAAGGAAAUGGCAGCAAAAUUCCUACGGAUAUGAGGCAAUAUGGCCACCUUUCUUUGAAAGUAAAAACAUCAUUAUAUUAGCAAGCAUUUCACGUUAGCCUAUCCUUUUACACACUUGAUGAACAUCAUUAUAUUAGCAAGCAGCAAACAUUUCACGUUUUGGAAAGAUUAGCAACGUUAACGCUGUUGUGUUUUAUUUAUUUCAAGGAAGAAAAAUGUAAUCUCUCUCAAGAACAACGUAUGGAUUUUGCUUUAUAUUUAGAUCCCGUUGUUCCGUUCUGUCGUGUUGUCGAAUUCGGGCUUUCUUCAAAGCGAAGUAAGGUGGAAAAAGAAUAGUUCUUCGCAUAUAAGGUUUAUCAUAUUAAUUGUGGAAGUUCUUGGCUGGACCGAGCUCUUGAACGACGUAAGGUACAGAAAGUCGGUUUGGUGACCCUUCAGCAUAGGACUUCUACUCAGCUUUCUUGGAGAGCUCCGUUGUUCCGGAGUCUAGACUUUUGGUACAGAUCUUAUGAUAUAUAUGUAUAUGUUUAACCAGGGGUACGGUGGGGCCCUGUCCCGUCAUAUUUCGCUAUCGAUACUCUUAGAGGUCUGUAGACAUAUGUGUGGGUUGUGUAUAAGUUCUGUUCAGCUGUGUCUAAACGAUGUGCGAUGGAUAUGUUCGUCUGUGAUGGCAGCCUUGUCGGCUUGCAUAUGAUAUGAUAUUGAUGUAUAGUGGCAGCCUUGUCGGCUUGCGUAUCAUUUUAUGAUUUGAUCAGUUGUGACUCCUCAGGAGACAGUUCAUCUGGAUAUAUAUAUAUGAUGACGUUAUGGACCUUCGGAGUUCUUCGUAAGUUUCCA